rnacentral:rRNA from 1 species
GAUGAACGCUGGCGGCGUGCUUAACACAUGCAAGUCGAACGAAGCAUCUUGAUUCGAUUCUUCGGAUGAAGAUCUUGGUGACUGAGUGGCGGACGGGUGAGUAACGCGUGGGUAACCUGCCUCAUACAGGGGGAUAACAGUUAGAAAUGACUGCUAAUACCGCAUAAGACCACGGCACCGCAUGGUGCAGGGGUAAAAACUCCGGUGGUAUGAGAUGGACCCGCGUCUGAUUAGGUAGUUGGUGGGGUAACGGCCUACCAAGCCGACGAUCAGUAGCCGACCUGAGAGGGUGACCGGCCACAUUGGGAAUGAGACACGGCCCAAACUCCUACGGGAGGCAGCAGUGGGGAAUAUUGCACAAUGGGGGAAACCCUGAUGCAGCGACGCCGCGUGAGCGAUGAAGUAUUUCGGUAUGUAAAGCUCUAUCAGCAGGGAAGAAAAUGACGGUACCUGACUAAGAAGCACCGGCUAAAUACGUG